UAGGGAAUCUUCGGCAAUGGACGAAAGUCUGACCGAGCAACGCCGCGUGAGUGAAGAAGGUUUUCGGAUCGUAAAACUCUGUUGUUAGAGAAGAACAAGGACGUUAGUAACUGAACGUCCCCUGACGGUAUCUAACCAGAAAGCCACGGCUAACUACGUGCCAGCAGCCGCGGUAAUACGUAGGUGGCAAGCGUUGUCCGGAUUUAUUGGGCGUAAAGCGAGCGCAGGCGGUUUCUUAAGUCUGAUGUGAAAGCCCCCGGCUCAACCGGGGAGGGUCAUUGGAAACUGGGAGACUUGAGUGCAGAAGGGGAGAGUGGAAUUCCAUGUGUAGCGGUGAAAUGCGUAGAUAUAUGGAGGAACACCAGUGGCGAAGGCGGCUCUCUGGUCUGUAACUGACGCUGAGGCUCGAAAGCGUGGGGAGCAAACAGG
rnacentral:rRNA from 2 species